rnacentral:rRNA from 1 species
CCUACGGGGGGCUGCAGUGGGGAAUAUUGCACAAUGGGGGAAACCCUGAUGCAGCGACGCCGCGUGAGUGAAGAAGUAUUUCGGUAUGUAAAGCUCUAUCAGCAGGGAAGAAAAUGACGGUACCUGAUUAAGAAGCCCCGGCUAACUACGUGCCAGCAGCCGCGGUAAUACGUAGGGGGCAAGCGUUAUCCGGAUUUACUGGGUGUAAAGGGGGAGUAGACGGCAGCACAAGUCUGGAGUGAAAUGGCGGGGCUGAACCCCGGAACUGCUUUGGACAUUGUGCAGCUAGAGUGCAGGAGAGGUAAGUGGAAUUGCGAGUGUAGCGGUGAAAUGCGUAGAUAUUAGGAGGAACACCAGUGGCGAAGGCGGCUUACUGGACUGUAACUGACGUUGAGGCUCGAAAGCGUGGGGAGCAAACAGGAUUAGAUACCCCUGUAGUC